GACUCGGUGUGCUAGGUGGGCGCUCUACCUCCAAGCUACGUGCCCAACCCUGAGAGCUAAGAUUUUAAACAGGGGGAUCAGGGAGGGCCUCACUGUGGAGGUGACAGCUGAGACUAUCCGAGGAAAGAUGUUCCAGGCAGAGGGACCGGCAGGUGCAAAGGCCCUGAGGCUGGUCUAGGCCCUGUGUGUUCCAGGAACGGUGUGGAGGCCCAUGUGGCUGGAGCCAAGGAAGAGAGAGAAGGUGGAGGUGAGGGCCGGAGGUGACAGGGCAGGUCAUGCUGGGCCUCGUGGGUCACAGGGAGGACACUGCUGUGAGUGGGGUGAGCCCCGAGAAGGGUUCUGGGCCAAGGAAGGUCUUGACAUGACCUGACCCCGAGCUCACAGGAAGACACAUUGUCAGACCCACAAAAGCAGCCGCGGUGUUUACAGACGGAGCUUGUGUUUAUAAACAGCUGGAAGUGGCGGGGGUGAGCUGUCCUCCCCCGCCAGGGACUUCCCCGCUGUCUAUACCCAGGUCCCUACCUCUCCCUGGGGUUGGGCUUGUGGCCUUUCUCACGACCCAGGAAGGGGCCCAGGC
rnacentral:lncRNA from 1 species